UUUUUUUUUUGACAAAAAACUCCUUUUUUUAUUCCAGCAUUCGCACAGAGUCAAAUCAAAUUUGCGCUCCCAUCUUCUUGGAAACCACACGUCAUGCAUCACAGGCGCUUUUGUCUACCUUUUGACAAAUUUCCUUGAAUCUGGGCAUUUUCUAAUGAACCUCGACAUUCACCUCCAGACAAGUUGGUGAUGUGUGCAAGGCCGGACAUGUGAUGUUGGGGGACAUGCAAAUCUAACGGACAAGUGCUGUCUCUGCUGCUUAAAGCCUCCCUGCUCAGAAGGCCCAAGUAUAUGACAAUGACCUGGGGAGGAGGAAGUGUGGCAAAAAAAAAAGAAAGAAAACAAAUGACACACCUACGGAGGGCGGGAUGCAAGGACUGCUUAUUGAACGGUGCAAGAACAGGGCAAGAGAAAAGCGGCAACAGCGGGAGAACGGUUUACUCAAAACAUCUGUAAUAUCUGCUUAUCUGUGUUUGUGGUAACACCAUGAACAGCCGCUUGUGAAAACACAAGUGCCGUCACUGUACAUGUAGACAACACAUGGUGCAAAAGAAAUGAUUUAAUACAGCAUGGCAUCCUCAACACCAGUGGCGCUCUAUCUAUCUUCUUUUUGGCAAGGACUUCCUGCUCUCCAGAGCGGCUCCGUCAAUACAUGACAUUUACGAGGCUCCCAUGAGCCGCGGCGCAUGUUGCACAGAUGACGAGGGACGCCUUCCGCGCCAUGACGACAAAACUGCCAAAUUGUGAGACAUUGUGCGUGUAAUUUUCUCCAGAAAAAAAAAAAAAAAAAAAAAAAAAAAAAAAAAUUCAAACAGAAGCUCAUCUCUGCUGAUAAGAAGAGAAAAUGCAUGACAUGGGGAUGAUAAGAGGAGGAGGCAGGAGAAACUUCAAUGGCGGAGUGUGUUUGGAUACGGCGAAGUGGAAGCAAAGAGAGUUUUCCACGCGAGUCAAUACUGCUGUCUUCAUUUACCGCAGGCCGUUGGAGGCAGCUUAGAAAUCUCUUACAUCUGGAACAGCCGUAAUUCGUGGGAUUUGGCCUGACAGCCAUGACAGUCAUCGGGGCGACCGACAACAACUGUCUCCUGUGUUAGCGGCUGCAGUGAAUAUGUGUGUCUGAAGCACAAGCUGAAAUGGAUCAAAGUAUUUCAUCUUUGCAAAAUCGUUUCCGUGUCUCUGUUGUUCAUUUUGGCAAUUAAUUCUACGUGAUUUGUUUCUUGUAAUGCUGAUAAGUUCAGAUAAACUACAUGAAUAAAAUAAUUUACUUCA